rnacentral:rRNA from 1 species
UACGUAGGGUGCGAGCGUUGCCCGGAUUUAUUGGGCGUAAAGGGCGCGUAGGCGGCUCUGCACGUCCGUUGUGAAAUCGCCCGGCUCAACUGGGCGGGGUCAGCGGAUACGGCGGAGCUCGAGCAAGCUAGGGGGCAAUGGAAUUCCCGGUGUAGUGGUGGAAUGCGCAGAUAUCAGGAGGAACACCGAUGGCGAAGGCAGGUCUCUGGGCCGAUACUGACGCUGAGGGGCGAAAGCGUGGGGAGCGAACAGG